AAAGCGCACGCAGGCGGUUUGUUAAGUCAGAUGUGAAAUCCCCGGGCUCAACCUGGGAACUGCAUCUGAUACUGGCAAGCUUGAGUCUCGUAGAGGGGGUAGAAUUCCAGGUGUAGCGGUGAAAUGCGUAGAGAUCUGGAGGAAUACCGGUGGCGAAGGCGGCCCCCUGGACGAAGACUGACGCUCAGGUGCGAAAGCGUGGGGAGCAAACAGGAUUAGAUACCCUGGUAGUCCACGCCGUAAACGAUGUCGACUUGGAGGU
rnacentral:rRNA from 1 species